GCCUAGUUAGCUUAGUUGGUAGUGCGUCUGCCUUGUAAGCGCUAGGCCGCGGGUUCGAUUCCCGUCAGGGGCG
rnacentral:tRNA from 1 species